rnacentral:rRNA from 1 species
CCUACGGGAGGCAGCAGUGGGGAAUAUUGCACAAUGGGGGAAACCCUGAUGCAGCGACGCCGCGUGAAGGAAGAAGGUCUUCGGAUCGUAAACCUCUAUCCGCAGGGAAGAAGAAAGUGACGAUACCUGAAUAAGAAGCCCCGGCCAACCACGUGCCAGCAGCCGCGGGAAUACGGAGGGGGCAAGCGUUACCCGGGAUCACUGGGUGUAAAGGGUGCGUAGGCGGUAGGGCCAGUCGGGUGUGAAAGCCCGGCGCUAAACUCCGGGAUUGCAUUUGAAACUGUCUUACUUGAGUGCAGGAGAGGAAGGCGGAAUUCCUAGUGUAGCGGUGAAAUGCGUAGAUAUUAGGAAGAACACCAGUGGCGAAGGCGGCUUUCUGGACUGUAACUGACGCUGAGGCACGAAAGCGUGGGGAGCGAACAGGAUUAGAUACCCCUGUAGUC